AUUGAACGCUGGCGGCAGGCCUAACACAUGCAAGUCGAACGAGUGGCGGACGGGUGAAUAAUGUCUGGGAAACUGCCCGAUGGAGGGGGAUCACUACUGGAAACGGUCGCUAAUACCGCAUACCAUCGGAUGUGCCCAGAUGGGAUUAGCUAGUAGGUGGGGUAACGGCUCACCUAGGCGACGAUCCCUCGCUGGUCUGAGAGGAUGACCAGCCACACGGGAACUGAGACACGGUCCAGACUCCAACGGGAGGCAGCAGUGGGGAAUAUUGCACAAGGGGCGCAAGCCGGAUGAAGCCAGGCCGCGGGUAUGAAGAAGGCCUUCGGGUUGUAAAGUACUUUCAGCGAGGAGGCGGUACGCGCAGAAGAAGCACCGGCUAACUCCGUGCCAGCAGCCGCGGUAAUUC
rnacentral:rRNA from 1 species